GUUUCCGUCGAUUAGUGGUUAGAUCACCACGAUGUGGCUUCAACAGAGAUGUGAUGCAGUACCGUGAAGACGAGGGCUCAACUCCCUCCGGAAACA